rnacentral:rRNA from 1 species
AUGAACGCUGGCGGCGUGCCUAAUACAUGCAAGUCGCGCGAACGGACGAGAAGCUUGCUUCUCUGAUGUUAGCGGCGGACGGGUGAGUAACACGUGGAUAACCUACCUAUAAGACUGGGAUAACUUCGGGAAACCGGAGCUAAUACCGGAUAAUAUUUUGAACCGCAUGGUUCAAAAGUGAAAGACGGUCUUGCUGUCACUUAUAGAUGGAUCCGCGCUGCAUUAGCUAGUUGGUAAGGUAACGGCUUACCAAGGCAACGAUGCAUAGCCGACCUGAGAGGGUGAUCGGCCACACUGGAACUGAGACACGAUCCAGACUCCUACGGGAGGCAGCAGUAGGGAAUCUUCCGCAAUGGGCGAAAGCCUGACGGAGCAACGCCGCGUGAGUGAUGAAGGUCUUCGGAUCGUAAAACUCUGUUAUUAGGGAAGAACAUAUGUGUAAGUAACUGUGCACAUCUUGACGGUACCUAAUCAGAAAGCCACGGCUAACUACGUG